UUCACAACAUGACGUUGUUCGCACAGAUCUAGAGCAAUACCUAUCAGCUGAUGUUCACCCUAUUAGAAAAGGAAGUGGUAUUGAUCUGAAUGAUUCUAGUUUUGAUGUUUUGGGGUGGUGGAAAUUUCAUGGACCAAUGUAUCCAAUUGUAGCAGUGAUAGCUCGUGAUAUAUUAGCAAUUCCUGCGUCAUCGGUGGCUUCUGAAUCUGUUUUCAGCACCAGUGGUAGAGUUGUAGAUAAAUUUCGUUCUUCAAUGCUUCCAGAAACAAUUGAAGCUCUGAUAUGCACACAAGAUUGGAUAAGAAGUGCGCUGAAGAAUGAGGGAUAUGGGUUAGGUAGUACUUCACUUCAGACUCUUUUGGAGGCAAUGGAGGAGCUCGAGUCAGACGAUGAUGAUGCAACAUCGCACAUUGUCUAACUGACUGACUAUCAAUUUAAGGAACAAUUGGAAAUAUGAUGGUUGGAA